CCCGGACCCCCCGUGCGGCGGUACCCUCCUGAACCUCCCCAGGGCCGGAAGGCAGCAAGGAUAGGGAGGCUCUGCCGGGUGCACGGGGGGUUCACAGCA
rfam:Streptomyces scabrisporus strain NF3 contig1, whole genome shotgun sequence.